rnacentral:rRNA from 1 species
AGUGGCGCACGGGUGCGUAACGCGUAUGCAACCUACCUUAAUCUGGGGGAUAGCCCGGAGAAAUCCGGAUUAAUACCGCAUAAAAUCACAGGAUGGCAUUAUCCAAUGAUCAAACAUUUAUGGGAUUGAGAUGGGCAUGCGUGUCAUUAGCUAGUUGGCGGGGUAACGGCCCACCAAGGCGACGAUGACUAGGGGAUCUGAGAGGAUGGCCCCCCACACUGGUACUGAGACACGGACCAGACUCCUACGGGAGGCAGCAGUAAGGAAUAUUGGUCAAUGGAGGCAACUCUGAACCAGCCAUGCCGCGUGCAGGAAGACUGCCCUAUGGGUUGUAAACUGCUUUUAUCCGGGAAUAAACCUAUCUACGUGUAGAUAGCUGAAUGUACCGGAAGAAUAAGGAUCGGCUAACUCCGUGCCAGCAGCCGCGGUAAUACGGAGGAUCCAAGCGUUAUCCGGAUUUAUUGGGUUUAAAGGGUGCGUAGGCGGCCUGUUAAGUCAGGGGUGAAAGACGGUAGCUCAACUAUCGCAGUGCCCUUGAUACUGAUGGGCUUGAAUGGACUAGAGGUAGGCGGAAUGAGACAAGUAGCGGUGAAAUGCAUAGAUAUGUCUCAGAACACCGAUUGCGAAGGCAGCUUACUAUGGUCUUAUUGACGCUGAGGCACGAAAGCGUGGGGAUCAAACAGGAUUAGAUACCCUGGUAGUCCACGCCCUAAACGAUGAACACUCGCUGUUGGCGAUACACAGUCAGCGGCUAAGCGAAAGCGUUAAGUGUUCCACCUGGGGAGUACGCUCGCAAGAGUGAAACUCAAAGGAAUUGACGGGGGCCCGCACAAGCGGAGGAGCAUGUGGUUUAAUUCGAUGAUACGCGAGGAACCUUACCCGGGCUUGAAAGU